GUCCUCACCAAGCAGUGUAACACUUCAUAUGGAAUAUUUAUUUUGUUUUUUAUUCUUUUUUCAAGUUCAUCAGCAACAGUUUUCAUUACACCUACAGAAAAGAUUUUUGUGAAGUGCAUUAGUUAUUUUUUUACAAUAAUAACAAUUCAAAUAAUACCUGGUGAUUUAUUUAAACUAUUACAAGUUUAUAUCAGGAUCGCCUAAUUUUUCCCCAAGAUCAUGGUAUUUGUGGAUGAAUUUUCGAGCUACAGAUCCCGUUACAUACUCUAGACAGUCAUCAAUCUGUGGAUUAUCUUUGGCAUGUAACUAAAAAAUUCUAAGCUGAGGGGUGACACUUGACCGCAACCAUUAUACAGAAAAGAGACUUCCCAGGUUUUAUAUUAUCGUUUUUUUUUUUUUUUUUUGUUAUACCUGUUUGAAAUGGAAGUCUACGAUUAGAGCCAUGUACUUUUAAGUCUUUCAUCACUGUAUCCAUUUUAUUAAGAA